ACAGCAGCAGCCGCGGUAAUACAGAGGGUGCGAGCGUUAAUCGGAUUUACUGGGCGUAAAGCGUGCGUAGGCGGCUUUUUAAGUCGGAUGUGAAAUCCCUGAGCUUAACUUAGGAAUUGCAUUCAAUACUGGGAAGCUAGAGUAUGGGAGAGGAUGGUAGAAUUCCAGGUGUAGCGGUGAAAUGCGUAGAGAUCUGGAGGAAUACCGAUGGCGAAGGCAGCCAUCUGGCCUAAUACUGACGCUGAGGUACGAAAGCAUGGGGAGCAAACAGGAUUAGAUACCCCCGUAGUCCCUGUCUCUUAUAC
rnacentral:rRNA from 1 species